rnacentral:lncRNA from 1 species
AUAGAUGGUAAAUAUUUCUUGCAGAUCUUUAGAGGUAUCAGAUUCUCAGUUACUCUUCCUUAGAUUUGGACAAGAGAGGGCCUCUGAGAAAGCCUGGCUAUAUCAAUGCAGAUUUUCUCUACAGAUGCAACUCUCCCCAACAAAAAGACAGCUUUUCAACUGUUCUCGUAUUUCCAGCCCUUCUGAAUAGCCAUCUUGAAAUAUGUUAAAGAAUUCUGUUUUGGGGUGAAAUAUUUUGGUUUCCCUCAGUGCAAAUUACGAGAAAGAGCCAAUGUUGUACUGGGUGAGUGGUAUCUGAUAUCAGGAGCAGAGUAGAAGUCAAACGAUAUUGUUCGGAUUUGUGUCUCCACCCAAAUCUCUUGUCAAAUUGUGAUCUUCAGUUGGACAGGGGCCUGGUGGGGGGUGACUGGAUCAUAGGGACAAUUUCCCCCUUGGUCUUCUCACAAUAGUGAGUGAGUUGUCACAAGAUCUGGUUGUUUAAAAGUGUGUAGUACCUUCUAGAAGUUCUCCCUCCUACUCCAGUGAUAUAAGACAUGCCUGCUUUUCCUUUGCCUUCCACCAUGAUUGAAAGUUUCCUGAAGCCUCCCCAGCCAUGUUAACCUGUACAGCCUGUGGAACUGUGAGUCAAUGUAACAUUUUUUUUCUUUAUAAAUUACCCAGUCUCAGGUCAUUCUUUAUAGCAAUGCGAGAAUGGACUAAUACAGAAAAUUGGUACUGAGGAGUGAGGCAUUGCUAUAAAGAUACCUAAAAAUGUGGAAGUGACUUUCAAACUGGGUAAGGGGCAGAGUUUGGAACUGGGUCAUGGACAGAGGUUGAAACAGUUUGGAGGGCACAGAGGAAGACAGGAAGAUGAGAAAAAGUUUGGAACUUCCUAAAAAGUUGUUAAAUUCUUGUGACCAAAAUGCUGAGCGUGAUAUGGACGAUGAAGUCCAGGCUGAGGCGGUCUCAGAUGGAGAAGAGGAACUUACCAGGAACUGGAGCAAAGAUCGCUUUUGUUAUGCACUAGCAAAGAGAUUGGAAGUAUUGUGCCCCUGCCCUAGAGAUCUGUGAAACUUUGAACUUGAGAGUGAUAAUUUAGAGUAACUGGCUGAAGACAUUUCUAAGCAGCAAAAUGUUCAAGACAUAGCAUGGCUGCCUCUUACAGCCUAUGCUUAUAUUCAUGAGGAAAGCAAUGACCUGGAAUGAGAUAAAAGGGAAGCAGAGUGUAAAAGUAUGGAAAUUUGCAGCCCAGCCAUGUGGUAGAAAAGAAACAACAAUUUUCUGGGGAGGAAUUCAAGCUGGUUGCAGAAAUUUGCAUAAGUAAAGAGGACCCUAAUGUUAAUAGCCAAGACAAUGGGGAAAAUGCCUUGAAGGCAUUUCAGAUACCUUCAUGGCAGCCUCUCUCAUUACAGGCCUGGAGGCCUAGGAGCGAAAAAUGGUUUUACAGUCUAGGUCCAGGGCCCCACUGCCCUGAGCAACCUCAGGACACUGCUCCCUGCAUCCCAGCCACUCCGGUCUCAGCCAUGGCUAAAAGGGCCCGAGAUACAUCUCAGGCCACUGCUUCAGAAGGUGCAAGUCACAAGCCUUGGUGGCUUCCAUAUAGUGUUAAGCCUGCAGGUGCACAGAGGGCAAGAGUUGAGGCUUGGGAGCCUCUGCCUAGAUUUCGGAGGAUGCAUGGAAAUGCCUGGGUGUUCAGGCAGAAGUCUGCUGUGGGGGCAGAGCCCUCAUGGAGAACCUCUACUAUGGCAGUGCAGAGGGGAAACGUGGGCUUGGAGUCCUCACACAGAGUCCAAGUGGAGCCAUCCUCCAGAACCCAGAAUGGAUCCAUCGACAGCUUGCAUCAUGCAGCUGGAAAAGUUGCAGGCACUCAAUGCUAGCCCAUGAAGGCAGCCGAGGGAGCUGCACCCUGGAGAGUCACAGGGUCAGAGAUUUCUAAGGCCUUGGGAACCCACCCCUUGCAUCAGUGCGGCCUCAAUGUGAGACAUGAAUUCAAAGGAGAUUAUUUUGGAGCUUUCAUAUUUAAGGACUACCCUGCUGGCUUUCAGACUUGCAUAGGGCCUAUAGCCCCUUUAUUUUAGCUGAUUUUUCCCUGUUGCAAUGAGUUUAUUUAAUCAUUGCCUGUACCCUCAUUAUAUCUUGGAAGUAAUUAACUUGUUUUUUAUUUUAUAGGUUCAUAAGCAGAAGGGACUUGCCUUUUCUCGGAUAAGAUUUUGGACUGUGGACUUUUGAAUUAAUGCUGAAAUGAGUUAAGACUUGGGGAACUGUUGAGAAGGGAUGAUUGUAUUUUGCUAUGUGAGAAGGACAUGAGAUUUGGGAAGGGCCAGGAGCGAAUGAUAUGGUCUGGAUUUGUGUCCCUGCCCAAAUCUCAGGUGGAAUUAUAAUCCCUGGUGUUGGAGGAGAGGCUGGGUGGGAGGUGAUUGGAUCAUGGGGGGAGACUUCCCCCUUGCUAAUCUUGUGAUAGCAAGUGAGUUCUCAUGAGAUCUGGUUGUUUAUUUAUUAUUUACUUAUUUAUUUAUUUUUGAGACAGGGUCUGGCUCUGUCACCCAGGCUGGAGUGCAGUGGCAUGAUCUGGGCUCACUGCAACCUCUGCCUUCCAGGCUUAAGCAAUUCUGUCAUCUCAGCCUCCCAAGUAGCUGGGUGAUAUGGUUUGGCUCUGUGUCCCCACCCAAAUCUCAUCUUGAAUUUUAUUCCCAUAAUUCCCACAUGUUGUGGGGGGCACCUGGUGGGAGAUAAUUUGAAUCAUGGGGGUGGUUCCCCCAUACUGUUCUCAUGGUAGUGAAUAAAUCUCACAGGGUCUGAUGGUUUUAUCAGGGAAUUUCACUUUUGCAUCCUUCUCAUUUUCUCUUGCUGCUACCAGGCAGGAGGCACCUUUCGCCUCCUGCCAUGAGUCUGAGGCAUUCCCAGCCAUGUGGAACUGUAAGUCCAAUUAAAUCUCUUUUUCUUCUCAGUCUCAGGUAUGUCUUUAUCAACAGCAUGAAAACAGACUAAUACCUUGGGACUACAGGCAUGUGCUACCAUGCUUGGGUAAUUUUUGCGUUUUUUGUAGAGACAGGGUUUUGCAAUGUUGCCCAGGCUGUUCUCAAACUCCUGAGCUCAAGUGAUCCACUCGCCUUGGCCUCCCAAAGUGCUGGGAUUACAGGUGUGAGCCACCACGCCUGGCCUCUGGUUGUUUAAAAGUGGGUAGCAACUCCUCCAUUGCUCUCUCCCUCCUACUCCAGCCAUUGGGAAGUGGGUGUGGCUGUCAAUGAGCUCCUCAUUACCAUGCCCUAGUUGGCUGGCAUGGGCCACUAAUCUGGCAGGGGGCUUGGUCAGCUGCUUGAAGGCACAGGUUGGGCAUAGACAGUGCCAUUUUAAAUUGCUCAGGAGCCAGUCAGAUGGGCCUUUUGCUUUCUUAUCCAAUUCCCUACCAAUUAUGCCUUCAACAACAAGAUACAAUAGGAAGUGAUACCCAAGUGAGAUCAUUUUCAAAAUCACCAUUGAUUUGGUUUGCAGCAUGGUACAGAGUACCAAGAGAUGUAAACCAAAAAUAAAAUUCCCUGAUCAACUGAAUCAACCCCUCCUCUCGGCCAAGGACAUUCCAAAGUUAACCAGAAAAACUAUUUCAGGCCGUGAUGGGAAGUGAGGGUCAGACAUGAUUCAUUAUACCCUCCUCCCUUUGGAAUUCAGGCACAGCUGACCAGCAUUAACAUUAAAAUAGAGAUCUUAAGACUGAUGAAACACACUUUUUGUAGCAAUAAGACACCAAAUUUCAGCCUGACUCUAGUAUGGCAUCACAUGACAGAUAGUGGGCCUUGAAAGAACUCAAAGUAUUUUACCUCAAAAUAUAUUACUUUGACGGAGGAUACUAGAGAAAUGCAUUUAGUUUCGGUAUCUGCUAACUUAGCAAAUACCUGCCCAAUUUGAUAAUCAGUUUUGUCUAUAACAUGAUUUCCCUAAGGGCAGACCUCAUGUCUUUUGUAGUAGUUCCACAAUACCACCACACUGGUAGACAUCAAGUGGACACUCAAUAGUUUUUUUUUUUUUUGAGACGGAGUUUCGCUCUUGUUGCCCAGGCUGGAGUGCAAUGGCACAAUCUCGGCUCACGGCAAUCUCUGCCUCUCGGGUUCAAGCUACUCUCCUGCCUCAGCCUCCUGAGUAGCUGGGAUUACAGGCAUGCACCACCACGCCAGGCUAAUUUUGUAUUUUUAGUAGAGAUGGGGUUUCUCCAUGUUGGUCAGGCUGGUCUCCAACUCCUGACCUCAGGUGAUCCGCCUGCCUUGGCCUCCCAAAGUGCUGGGAUUACAGGCGUGAGCCACCGUGCCCAGCCAAUACUUUCUAAUCUACUGAAAGCUUUUCUCCCUUACUUAAAUGCCCUUAGGUUUUCAUCACAUACAAAUUAAAAACUCUCUUGCCUAGUUUCCAAAGCACGCUUCAGUCUCCCCAGAACUCACCUGACCUGUCUUAUUUCCCACUGCUUCUCUACAUAUAUGCCAAACCAGUUUUACACUUGCCUAUGAACACACCUUUUUUGUCUUGGUCAUCAUAGUUUUACUCACUUGGAAAAAAAUCCUUUUCCCCCCUUAUUAAAAUCCUACCCAUCACUGAAAUCAAGCUCAGAUUUCACCACUUUUUAAAAGUCUUCUCUAUCAGUAUCUACCUGAAUAGGUCACUCCAGGACUCUGGUCCAUCCCCUCAUGGGCAUGACAACAAGUGGGGUACAUAGUUGGCUGGGGCAAAAUUAAUGUGAGUAGAGUUAAUUUAGGCCAAGCUUGAAGAUUGCAACCGAGGAGCACAGAUUCAAGUUGCCUUGAAUAUACACACUGAUUAGCAGCCACCUUCAAGCAAACACUGCCUAGGGAUGCUUAUUCUAUGGAUGUUGGGAACUUUUAUUCAAAUCUCUGUGAAUAUAUUACUCCUCCAACUUGCCAGUAAACCCCUUGAAACCUAUGACUUGAUUGCAUGCAAUAACCCUUAAUACUUUAGAUAUCUCAGAACCUCCCAAGUUUAUGACGUUCACUACAGCAUGAUUUACUCCAUAAAAUGUAGUAAGGUGGCCAGGAGCGAUGGCUCAUGCCUGUAAUCCCAGCACUUUGAGAGGCCGAGGUGGGCAGAUCAUUUGAGGUCAAGAGUUCGAGACCAGCCUGGCCAACAUGGUGAAACCCUGUCUCUACUAAAAAUACAAAAGUUAGCCGGAUGAUAGUGGUGCAUGCCUGUAAUCCCAGCUACUCGUGAGGCUGAGGCAGGAGAAUCACUUGAUCCUGGGAGGCGGAGGUUGCAGUGAGUCGAGAUCGAGCCACUGCACUCCAAUCUGGGUGACAGAGUGAGAUCCCAUCUCAAAACAAAACAAAAACAAACAAACAAAAAAACGUUGUAAGGUUCAAAUUCAAAAUAAGUCUUUUAUAUACGAUAAUUUUUAAAAAUUGUCAACCUCAAUCCAUUUAAUUACAUCUUAGAAGGAAAUCAAAUCAACAAGCAUUUGUCAAGCUGAUCAUGUGCCCAGCAUUCUGGUAGGUACUGCAGAAAAUAAGAUGAUAUAGAGUACUCUUGUGACAGACUGAAUAUAGAAAUGGACAAUGACCAGAACAUAUAUAAAAAUAGAACUCUGACCUACAACCUCUCCAGGAACUAGUCCAGAAAGACAACAGCUAUUUCUGCAUUAAUCAUCCCAGGACUUGAUCAACUGCCAGUUUCCUUAGUUUUUGUCCUGUUUCCAACUUAGGACCAACCAGAGAAAGCCAAAUAUGUAUCCUCAACUGACCACAUAGGAUGCCGUGCUUCCACUUAACCUGCCUCCAGCCAGCAACAUCAAAUCAGGGCAUACCUGAAGUCUUUCCUUUUUUCACAUUAUAAAGCUUUCACACUCUCCUGCCUGCCUUCCGAUCUCUGAAAAACACAAGUGAUGGUGGCUGACUGCUUUGCUACAGCAAGCUUUGAAUAAAUAUCCUUUGCUUGUACUCAUUUGAGUGUUCUCCAUUUAUUUCUGCUCUUGGAAUUACAGAAUUAUUAUAGGUGGUUUCAAUUAUUAAUUUAUACCCCCAAAGACUCAAGAUAUAGUCAUUUAUAAUUUUAUUAGGGCUGGGAUUUGAAUUAUACUAUUUGAGACUGAUAUAUGGCAGUUAGUGACUGCCCUGUACACACAUAUGAUUUUGCUUUUGUAUUCACACUGUGACACAUGCACCUUACUGGGGAAAUUAUAUUCUCUAGAGUGUAUUUUGGGGGAUUAUUUUGGAAGGCAUUGAACUUAACACCUUAUGUA